rnacentral:lncRNA from 1 species
GGAACAAAGAACACAGGAAAUAAAAGUUCUCUUUAGGUGCAGCUCCCUGAGCUACAUCCAAGAAGAGUAAGGCAAAAUCCCAUUCCCUGCCACAAACCCACCACUCAUCCUGAAGGACUGAAACCCGGAGAGUCAUGGAACAUGAGUGGCAAAGACAAGACAAAACAAUAUAAGUCAAAAGACCCAGCACUUUUGAGUCCUCAACUGUAAGAGACCCCACUGUCUUUAAGAAUGGUCCAGAAAAGCUGUGUGUGUUCCCACAGACUAGCAAUUAUUGAUUCUAGCUCGUAUGACAGGUGUCUUGGCAAACAGGAAAUGGAUGACAGAGCCUUAUAACAACUGUAAUUUUAAGAGACAAAUCAAGAAGACAUGAGUAUUGGAUGAGGAACAGAUGGCUUUCAUCUUCCAUU